rnacentral:rRNA from 1 species
GAUGAACGCUGGCGGCGUGCUUAACACAUGCAAGUCGAACGGAAAGGCUCCUGCUUGCAGGGGUACUCGAGUGGCGAACGGGUGAGUAACACGUGGGUGAUCUGCCCUGCACUUCGGGGUAAGCCUGGGAAACUGGGUCUAAUACCGGAUAGGACGAUGGUUUGGAUGCCAUUGUGGAAAGUUUUUUCGGUGUGGGAUGAGCUCGCGGCCUAUCAGCUUGUUGGUGGGGUAAUGGCCUACCAAGGCGUCGACGGGUAGCCGGCCUGAGAGGGUGUACGGCCACAUUGGGACUGAGAUACGGCCCAGACUCCUACGGGAGGCAGCAGUGGGGAAUAUUGCACAAUGGGCGCAAGCCUGAUGCAGCGACGCCGCGUGGGGGAUGACGGCCUUCGGGUUAUAAACUCCUUUCGCUAGGGACGAAGCGCAAGUGACGGUACCUGGAGAAGAAGCACCGGCUAACUACGUG